CACGUAGGGUGCGAGCGUUGUCCGGAAUUAUUGGGCGUAAAGAGCUCGUAGGCGGUGUGUCGCGUCGGCCGUGAAAACCUGCAGCUUAACUGUGGGCUUGCGGUCGAUACGGGCAUCACUGGAGUUCGGCAGGGGAGACUGGAAUUCCUGGUGUAGCGGUGAAAUGCGUAGAUAUCGUUUGGAACGCCAAUGGUGAAAACAGACAGCUGGGAGUGUGCUGACGCUGAGACACGAAAGCCAGGGGAGCGAACGGG
rnacentral:rRNA from 1 species